rnacentral:rRNA from 1 species
UACAGAGGCCUCGAGCGUUAGGCGGAAUUACUGGGCGUAAAGCGCACGUAGGCGGCUUUGUAAGUUAGAGGUGAAAGCCCGGGGCUCAACCCCGGAAUAGCCUUUAAGACUGCAUCGCUUGAACGUCGGAGAGGUGAGUGGAAUUCCGAGUGUAGAGGUGAAAUUCGUAGAUAUUCGGAAGAACACCAGUGGCGAAGGCGGCUCACUGGACGACUGUUGACGCUGAGGUGCGAAAGCGUGGGGAGCAAACAGG